UCAGCUUUAUCUGCCCAGGAGGGUAAAGAGUAAGGACAAAAAUAAAUGGAAAAAUAUAUCAUGUAGUGGUAAAUCAAAAUACUACCAGCUACAAUCCAGCUGCCUCAUUUUUAGCCAAAUUUAGUAUCAUGCUCGUUUUAACAAUAGUUGAGAUGCCUACAUACACGGUAUCAAGUAUGGGUUUAAAGUCAGAGUAUCUGCAUGAUUAAUUAACCUUUGGAUAGUUUUUUCUUAAACCAUUAAGUAUCUCAAUUUUCUUAAUAUCUAAAUGGAGAUUUCCAAAAGCAAUCCAUCUCAUAGGGAAGCAGGGACAACUGGAUAUAUGUCAGGGAGAACGGGUCUACUUUGCUUCUUUUCCUACCCCUCUCUGUGGUAGAUUAUCUUAUUUCUUCAAACAUAUUUGGUGCUCCUCCCUCUGGGUCCCUCCUUAGUAACCAGUAAGAAGAGGACAUUUCCCUCCACAUUGACAUGAGGUGUUGCUGCGUUACCAGUUUUGGCUAAUAGAAUGAGCAGACGAAAAAUAAGCAACAGCCAAGUAGAUUUUUAUGAGCUUUAUGGAACGUUUAUGAGUUUUAUGAUUCAAUGAUUUUUUUUCCAUUUUCUCUGCCAGAUGUCCUGCGUUUGGAUUAUUCUUUCAAACUGGAUCACAAUAAAGGAGAAAUGGUCACACAGAUGACUCACAAAGGCUGUGUUGAGAAACAGAAUGUGGAAGCACAGCAAGAUUUUCAGUCACUAAAAAUGGCUCGUGAUGUCCAACGCAAGUUAUCCAAUAAAGAACAGAAG
rnacentral:lncRNA from 1 species